CGCCGCCGGUGACGUUGUGAGAAGUUUAUCGAACCUUAUCAUUUAGAGGAAGGAGAAGUCGUAACAAGGUUUCCGUAGGUGAACCUGCGGAAGGAUCAUUG
rnacentral:rRNA from 3 species